rfam:Bacillus vietnamensis strain TCD-SED5 scaffold_43, whole genome shotgun sequence.
UCCGGGGCGACCCGGAAUCUGAAGGAAGCGGGCGGCAAACCUCCGGUCCGAGGAACACGAAUCUCAUAUAAGGCUUGUUGCACUGGAUAAGUCUGCAAUACAAGAUGAAGUCCGAACUGUCGAAGGUGCAGAAAGUAAAUGAGGCGGAUAGAUGGAGGGAAAGAUUGCACUC